UUCCAUAUUCAAAGAAGAAAUCCUUGGCUUUGCUAGGUUUUUGCCUCUUUUACUCGCCUUGGUUGUUCUAUGUUCCUCUCUAUCCGCGCUGCUUCCUCGUUCUCCCCUGCACCGUGUUUGUUUUCUGAUCCUCGACGUCGCAACACGCUUCUGCCGCCGCCGCUACACUCGGCUACACCACUUUAUCGUUUUCUGUCGCUUCUCUGUUCCCCUUCUUCACCAGCGACUCUGAUCUCUGCUUCUCCCUCCAUUUUAUUUUUAUUUUUAUUUUACUUUAUUUUCUUUUCUAUGACAAUUUUAUGUGAAUUUGAAUGUUCUUCGUUUGUCACAGUAUGGAUUCUGAGAAGUGUGUAAAUGUGCAAUUUCCAUUGGCAAUAGAUUUAUUUAUGUGUUUAAUAAUUUUAUCUGAAUGUUAUUUUGAUUUCAAAAGAAUUUUAUGCAGUCAUAUCAUUAUUACACACUCUCUUAUAUUUUAUACUUGUAUUUUAACAGGGAGAUGGGAGGCCAUUUUGUGUAAUUUCUGAAGUCCUUGGUUCCAGUGAUGAAGAUUAUUUUGAAGAAGUUUACAAUGUGACCAUUUUGCGUAGGAGACUGCUCUAUUUGUUAUAUUAGUCCCAAUUUAUGAUGAUUCUCUUAAUAAAGUUAAUUUAUCUAUGAAUUGCACAACCGUUUUGGAAAAUUCAGUUCUUACCUAUCAAAAGAUUCAAAACCUUGAAUACUUUGAUAAUAUCUAUCCUUUUUAAUUGUUCAUCUUCUGAUCUUCCUUCUUGUUCAUUCCUUAGAAUUCAUCUGUUGUUUCUAUUUAUCUAUAUAUUAUUGCAUACUUAUCCAAGAAAAAUAAAUUAGCAGGAGAUUUUAAAAGUACCUGACACAUGCCUUCAAAUUUCAAAUAUACAAUAUGACACAUGCUUGUUUCUGAACUUAGCGUUAUUCAUGUCAGUAUUGUGCAAAUGGAGAUGUAUGGCAUCUUUCAGAUGGAGCUUAUGAAACAACUACUCUUCUCAAGGAUGUUGGAAGUUUCACGAAUCAAAUAUAUCUUUUUCCUCCUUAACCAUUGUUUUCUUUUAAGUUUGUCCCUCCUAUCAUAGUAAGAUGAUAAACACUGGCACAAUUAAGAUGACUGUUGUAUCCAACUUUGAUUCCCGCUUAAGGAAACUAUUGAAGGAUUUGAUGUUUUGAAUCUUUUGAUAAAUUUAAUAUUCUUAACAAAUAAUUUCGAAUAAAGAUAUCAAACUCUAGAGUUCAUUUGAAGUCAUGAAGCUUAGAUAAAAUUGAAGUCAUGAAGCUUUGAUAAAUUGGAAGUUUGGCAUGGGAAUGAAUGAUGAGUUAGGUGUAAGUAGAUUAAGUCUUGUUUUUAUUCUAUAUCUUAUGAUAUAAAUCAUUGUGAUUAUUACAUAGAUACUCUUAAUUGCCUGACAUAUUCAGGAAACCUAAAAACUACUCGAAUGUGAAAGAUGAAGAAGAAGCACCAUAACAAAAAUCAUUGUGAAUUUGUUUCUAAUCAAUUGAUAAGUAUUUUUUCAUUGAUUAAACUUGAUAAAGGUGGUGUUGGAUUAGCUUCACAAUCACAAGUGCAACAAUUCAAAGAAGCAAUUGGUUCAACUAAGUAGGAAGGAUUUCCAUCCCCUGCCAUAGUCACAAGAAUCUUGGACUCAUUAUUAUCAAUAACCACAUUACUAGGCAUUGUGCUUUAACAGGAAGAAGAGAUUGGCUGAGACGAAGGAAGCAACUGAAGUUGAGAUUUAGAUCAGUGGUUCCAAUUUCAGGAUCUGAUUUUGUUUGAGAGGUUUCACAGGCUCCCUCUGAUGUUUGGGUGGUUGUCAUCCUUUACAAAGAUGGGUAUGCUAGAUGACAUUUCUAAGUUCAAAUUUCAGGAAAUAUUUCUGAACACCACACGUCCUCAUAUAAUAUCUAUAAAUUACUUGGUGCAUUGAAGAAUUUGUCACAAGAUAUCCUGUAACAAAAUAAAUUUGUUAAGAUAAUAUCAACUGAUUGCAUUCCCAAUCUGCCCACCGUAUUGGUAUACAACAAUGGAGCAGUCAAGGAAAAUUGUGUUGGCUUGUGUAGUUUUGGACGAAGAUGCACUCUUGAAGGAAUUUAAUUGAUUUUAUCUUAUGAUGCCUUUUGUGAAACUUGUUAGUUUAAAUUUUAAAAAUAUUUAAAUUUCAGAAACGUGAUAUUGAAUGCAUAUUUAUUUUCUUUCUUCUCU